UACGAAGGGUGCAAGCGUUACUCGGAAUUACUGGGCGUAAAGUGUGCGCAGGCGGCAGAGCAAGUCGAGUGUGAAAGCCCCGGGCUUAACUUGGGAAUUGCGCUCGAAACUACUUUGCUGGAGUGUGGCAGAGGAAGGUGGAAUUCCACGUGUAGCGGUGAAAUGCGUAGAGAUGUGGAGGAACACCAAUGGCGAAGGCAGCCUUCUGGGCCAACACUGACGCUCAUGCACGAAAGCGUGGGGAGCAAACAGG
rnacentral:rRNA from 1 species